CAGCCGCCGCGGGAAUACGGAGGAUCCAAGCGUUAUCCGGAAUUAUUGGGUUUAAAGGGUCCGUAGGCGGUCUUGUAAGUCAGUGGUGAAAGCCCAUCGCUCAACGGUGGAACGGCCAUUGAUACUGCAGGACUUGAAUUAUUGGGAAGUAACUAGAAUAUGUAGUGUAGCGGUGAAAUGCUUAGAGAUUACAUGGAAUACCAAUUGCGAAGGCAGGUUACUACCAAUUGAUUGACGCUGAUGGACGAAAGCGUGGGUAGCGAACAGGAUUAGAUACCCGGGUAGUCCCUGUCUCUUAUAC
rnacentral:rRNA from 1 species